CUUACGACCAUAUCACGUUGAAACACCGGUUCAAAUACGAUCACCGAAGUUAAGCAAGGUCGAACCUGGACAGUACGAAAAUGAGUGACCGCUUAGAAAUACCAGGUGAUGUAA